CAUUAAGAAGCUAUGCUACAAGCGUUAGCCUUUUAAGCUAAAGAAAGAGGAAUCCACCCUCCUUAAUGA
rnacentral:tRNA from 1 species